UACGUAGGGGGCAAGCGUUGUCCGGAAUUAUUGGGCGUAAAGAGCGUGUAGGCGGCCAGAUAAGUCCGCUGUGAAAUCUCGAGGCUCAACUUCGAGCUGUCGGUGGAAACUAUCUGGCUAGAGUCCGGAAGAGGAGAAUGGAAUUCCCGGUGUAGAGGUGAAAUUCGUAGAUAUCGGGAGGAACACCGGUGGCGAAGGCGGCGAUCUGGGUAGAUACUGACGCUGAGGUGCGAAAGCGGGGGGAGCAAACAGG
rnacentral:rRNA from 1 species